AUGAAGUUUGUGUAUAAAGAGGAGCAUCCUUUCGAGAAGCGGCGCUCUGAGGGCGAGAAGAUCCGAAAGAAAUACCCGGACCGGUUCCCGGUGAUAGUUGUAAAGGCUUCCAGAGCUCGGAUAGGAGGCCUGGACAAAAGGAAAUGCCUGCUGCCUUCUGAUCUUACAGUUGGUCACUUCUACUUCUUGAUCCGGAAGCGAAUUCAUCUCCAAGCUGAGGAUGCCUUGCUUUUCUUUGUCAACAAUGUCAUUCCACCCACCAGUGCCAGGAUGGGUCAGCUAUACCAGGAGCACCAUGAAGAAUACACUUCUUUCUAUAUGUUGCCUCCAGUGAUGAAAGUGUCUACGGUCUGUGCAGUUGCUGUCCCUAAGGGGGGGGGGGGGGUCCCAUUCUACAAAGAGAGAGGGGGCCCCCCUUCCUUGACCUAUUCCUCCUAGAGGGUCAAACACCACCUCCCGUCUUCAGGACCUGCACUUCCUAAUGUUUGAGACUCCUCCAGCCCCUCGUAACACACGGGUUAAUGGGGGAGAUGGCCUCUAGUACCGCUCCUUUCUCCAUUCUUCCCCUUUCUUUACCACCUUGCCCAUUCUGCUUUAGACUUCUUGAUUGUCAGUCUCUGUCACAUCCGGUGAUUGUUUUGGUUUCUGUUCCCUUUCUAACUGCCCAAGGGGCUCAGAACCCCAACAAUCCCUUCUUUUCACUACCUUCUCUUUUUGGGGUGGAUGGAAGGGACUGAAAUUGUGGGAGGAAGGUAGGAGGCCCAUUAAUAAAGAGGAAAC